ACUUCGGCCCCUCCCUCCUCCGCAGUCCCCUCCCAUUCCCCAUCGUCUCCCGCACAUCGCCCCCACCUCGCCGCCUCCCUACUCCCACGGCUCGCCGCCGGCCCUCUCCUCCUCUCACCUCGCGGCUCCGGCGGCUGCUAGAUCCGCCACAAGCCCCACCCAUCCACCCCUCUCGCGACCCAUCUCUCUCUCUCUCUCUCUCUCUCCCUCUCCUACGAACCCUCGCGCCGCCAGCAAUGUCCGCCGAUUCCGGCGAUGUCCAGCACCGCGCAGCACGCUCACAAGCUCUUCUCCGACCCAUCCGGCCUCCAGUACGGCUGGAUCCGCCGUCCCCGGCCUCUGGCGCAUGUCCAUGACCCCUAGCCCAUGGCUAGGGUUUCUGUGGCGUCGCGUCCGUCGCCGGUGCGGCUCCAGCGGCUCCUCUCCAUCGUACAUCGCGCCCCCUCGCGCCCUCUCCUCCUCCUAGAUGGCGCUCCUUCGCUCGGUGUGCUUGCACGCGUUGGUCUGGACGGUGGCGACCCUGACCCCAUCUGCCGCGAGCGCCGAGGAAGGAGGAGGUCGUCACGAGGGAGUACACCAUCAACCUCCACAAGCGCCUCCAUGGCUGGUAUGCGACCUCCCAGCACUGUUACUUCUGCCCACUCUCUCGUUCCAGCUGCAAGAUCCGACUUGGUUCACCACGCCGUCCUACUGUAUUCUAUCCAGCGGCUCCUCUCUGUUGUUUAUUUAUUCUAUUAACUCAUGCUACAAUAUUUCUCAAUAUUAAUCUGUCCGGUAUAACAUUUAUAGUCUAGUAGCAAAUUAGUUUUAUAGUCAAUAAACUGUCUAAUGCUUUCUUGGUUUGAUUAAAAUUACAGUGACAAUCAGGUAGCCGUAGUUUUAGUUGACGGUAGUUGGUAUCGAUGAAUCUCAAGUGGCAAGUAUUCUGAGUUAUUUUUAAAACUUAUAACAUGAUCUUGGACCCAUAAUGGAUGAUCGAUGCAUAAUUCUUCUAUGCUGCAUGAUGUGUGUGUUUCUCUUUUCUUGUAUUAUUAACCGAUUCUCGUAAUCACUUCAUAUGUAUCUCCAUCUUUUAUGUUCAGCAAUAAUCUGUGCGAAAAGGUUGAUCUUCAAACUGGAAAAGUAUCAUACUUAUCUUAGCAUGUCUCAUGUUCGCAACAUCUAUGACCUCAGUUAUUCAUUCUGUACUGAAUUUCACGCCUUGUUGCUUAACACUGUCAUUUCUGUUGUUUUAGUUCUGCAGCUCAUGGACGGGAAAAUGUAUAGUGAAGGCCUAACACUUCUGGGUGGUAGAUUGCUAUAUUAACCUCAAAUUUGUUUUUGAAGUCUUUGCAUAACAAUUGCUAUGUUUAAUAUAAUAGACCUAUUUUCCUAUGUGUUUUGAUUCGACCAUCUCCUGGUGUUCAUGUGUCUUGAUUCAGCUUGUACCUUAAUAAGUAUUUUCCUAUGUGUUUUGAUUCAACCAUCUCCUGGUGUUCAUGUAUCUUGAUUCAGCUUGUACCUUAAUAACUAUUUUCCCAUUUGUUUUCAUUCGACCAUCUCCUGGUGUCAUGUGUAUUGACUUGGCUUGCACCUUAAUAACUAUUUAGCAAUCACAUAAGCCAUGCAAUAUAUUAAUUUGUAGUUUUCCGCAUCGUGUAUAUUGUUUGUUAUUGAUGCCAUUGUUUUUGGCGUAUAUACUUGUUAUUCUCGUUUGUACGUACCGUAAGAUUUCAGAACUUAGGACAAAAUCGUAUCUGCUAUUCUGUUGUGCAUUUUGUAUCUUUCCAGAACCAAAAGAGAAAAGUAGAAUUUACCCCUUCUUAAUGCCUAAUAAAACGGAAUGUUGAACUCGUUCCAUCACUUCCAGAAGGCUGUUUGAUAUAUCGGGAAAAGGGAGUUAUCAACUUUAUGUAUUACAGGAUGUCGCUUUAAGUUCUAGCAUUUUUGUCUUUCUGUAUUGUGGAAACAUAUUAACUUGUGUGGCAUAUUUCUCUAGUGAUGUGAAGUGUAUAUACUAAUGCAGUAUUAUUAGGUUUGUUCUGAUUUCUCUAACGGUGUCUCAAAGUUCUCGAUGUUUGCUAUUUAUAGUGCUCAUGCUGUAUUUGGGGAUUGUUUCCUAGCUCAGGUGUCCACUGAUCAGUGAGGAAGGUUGACGAUGACAACUUAACGACUGAAUCAUCCCCACUGGCAUAAUUAAAGAGAGCUGGAGACAAAUGAACUUGGUGUAUUAAUUCUUUAGGACCUUCAUCAACAGCAGCAGCCACUACUACAUGCUCACACCACAUAAUUUGGUAAAGGUACAUGCGGCUGCAUAACAAGGUUAAGCCCUCAGCCUUCUGGCAUGGAUUUCCUUGGUGGUGAGAGCUGCAAAGGAAGUUUGAGCUGUAGAGGUGAAGCUGAUGAUAAAGUGUGUGUGUACAACUUGUAUAUUUGUUGAUGUAAUCUGGUUAUUGAGAGCAUUCGAACUAAUGUUGGAUGUGUUCUUUGGCACAUUUUAGAAGGCCUGUACUCAGUGAAGUAAUUGAAUAGAAAUUUAUGAAAUGGUCCAAAUUAUGGGUCUGUUCAAUGGAAGUCAUUUUGUGUUGUGAA